rnacentral:rRNA from 1 species
GUGCCAGCCGCCGCGGUAAUACGGAGGGUGCAAGCGUUAUCCGGAUUCACUGGGUUUAAAGGGUGUGUAGGCGGACUUUUAAGUCAGUGGUGAAAUCUCAAGGCUCAACCUUGAAACUGCCAUUGAUACUAUUAGUCUUGAAUCUUGUUGAGGUGGGCGGAAUAUGUCAUGUAGCGGUGAAAUGCUUAGAUAUGACAUAGAACACCAAUUGCGAAGGCAGCUCGCUAAACAAGUAUUGACGCUGAGGCACGAAAGCGUGGGGAUCAAACAGGAUUAGAUACCCCGGUAGUCC